rnacentral:rRNA from 1 species
UACGUAGGGUGCAAGCGUUGUCCGGAAUUAUUGGGCGUAAAGAGCUCGUAGGCGGUUUGUCGCGUCGAAUGUGAAAUCUCGGGGCUCAACCCCGAGCGGUCGUGAGAAACUGGCAGGCUAGAGUGCGGGAGAGGAGAGUGGAAUUCCUGGUGUAGCGGUGAAAUGCGCAGAUAUCAGGAAGAACACCCGUGGCGAAGGCGGCUCUCUGGAACGCAACUGACGCUGAGACGCGAAAGCGUGGGGAGCGAACAGG